GGUGAGUUCAGCUCUUCUUUGUGUAUACGACUAUUGGGGUACCUGCGAGUAUUGCUACGAACCUGGCAGAGUGAUUUGCUUCUCUGUUUCUCCUCUGAGAAACACAACUGAAAGUAGAAGCAUGUAAAAAGCCAGGUACUCCUAGCCACUCUUGAUGUCACUGCCCACACACUGGAGCUUGUUCACGUUGCCCAGUGGUUUAAGAUGCAUAACAAUUAAAAGCCAUACUUAACUGCCCUAAAUGAAGAUACCAGCAAUGCUGUCAUGUCACUUCCAAAGUCUGAAAUAAAGAAACAAGCUACAAAUAAAUCCUACCUCAAUACUACUUUAUUUCAAAGGAAUUCACUGCAUCAUUAGAAGAGCUUCAACAUGCAUACAUAUAUUCUGCACUACUUGAACAACUUCACCUUAAUAAAUACUUGUGAACUAUUACAAGAAGCAUUACUUAUAGGCUGUUUUUAAACAGUAUAAAAACCUCCUCCACUAGAUGGCUCUGACAGUAUGUACAUCAAAGCUGUUUGAACACUUACAUAUUUACAUAUGUACACCUGUAAGUAAUAAAGGCAGCUGAUAUUGACAUAUUCAUAUACUGAGGAAUCAGGCAAAAAUAAAGAUGAUUUUGAAAUGAAGUCAAUACAUAUGUGCACAUGUAUACAUUCAACAAAAUAUUUGCAUCUUUUUAGUCCAAAAUUACAAUAAAAAAGCAAAACAUACGCCUUUGCAUCCCAGAUGCAAAUGCACAGUAAACAUUUUAAAAAAUUUAAGCUGCACCUGUCCUUCCCACAUGACCAGAAGGAGUGGACCCAGGGUGGAGCUACGCCAGACUCAUAUAAGAACUAGACACUGAAGGGAGAGCAUCUUUUGAGCCUUGGCUGCUUCCUGAGAGGCGGUGCUGUAUAGCCAGAGCUUCCCUUCACCAGCAGGGUGAUUUCAACUUUUUUUUUCUGCAUGUGACUAUUGGUGUACCAGUGGGUUCUUUUCCUAGUUAUCACUAAGAAUCUGUCAGAAGCAAUUUUGCUUCUUUGUGGGCAGAACAAAUAGCAACUUCAAAACUCUUCCAGUAGCCAUGUUUCUAUUAUUGAUAACUUAAAUUGCUAGGGUCUGGGUCUAUUUGUUCUUGUUUUCUGAUGUUUGGAUAAGUCUGCAAAACUGGUAUGGGAAAAAACCACAAGAUUGAUACUCUGAGUUGCAGCUACUUUAUGAACUUAAUAAGAUAUCUUAACCUUACUUCAUUUGCGUUCUUACUUCAUUUGUAUUCUACCUUCUACCCACAGAGGUGUUCAUUACUGCAAGCUCUAUAGGCAACUGAUUCAAUCUUACUUCAUCUAAAAAACCUACACAUUGUGUAAAAUGGAUGAUCUACAUAUGUAGAUUUUUAAUAAUAUAAAUUCUUUAAGUAAGGAAGCUUUGCAUAUGCAUGUGUUUUCCUUUUAAGGAAAGGCUGGUGAAGAAUAAAUCAAAUACUUCUAUUUAACAGGUUUUCACUGCUUCUCUAAUCCUAAAUAAUGCCUUGAGAUUAAAAAAAAAAAAAAAACUU